rnacentral:lncRNA from 1 species
CAGAAGCAGAAGUGAGAAAAGGACCAUGGACAAUGGAAGAAGAUCUUAUUCUUAUCAACUAUAUCGCCAACCACGGCGAUGGUGUUUGGAAUUCUCUCGCCAAAUCUGCAGGUUCGUUUAAUUUCUUCUUAAAAUCAAAUUCAAUUAUGAUUUAUUCACUAAUCAAUUAUGAUAUAUACACACAUAUAUUUGUAUGAACUAGGGUUUCUUCAUAACAUGCAAAAGUACGUAUAUCUUAUACGACAAAAAAUACUUUUUCUUACGUUCAUUUCUUUCAUAUAUAUAAAGAUUUAUAUACACAGAUAUAAAUCUUAUUUUCAUAACUAUAACUUUUAUUUAAACGUAUAUAUGCUCUAUUAUAUUCGUUCUUUGUUAAAGAAUCAGUCUACAUCUAAAAACGUUUUCAUGUGUUGGAUGAUGCUUUAUGAUGGCCUAGUGGUAGAGUAAAAUUAUGUAAAAUAAUAUUUAAGAAAAAACAUCAACAAAUGGUACACGUAUUUAAUUUCUACUCAUAUGUCAUACGUGGUAUUACUUAAUUAUAAUUAUGUGAAUAUAUGCACGUAGUACGAAUCAUAUUGAUUGAUUGGUAAAAUGAAUGUAUAGGUCUAAAACGCACCGGAAAAAGUUGCCGGCUCCGGUGGCUGAACUAUCUCCGCCCCGACGUACGACGGGGAAACAUCACGCCAGAGGAGCAACUUAUCAUCAUGGAACUUCAUGCUAAGUGGGGAAACAGGUUGGUUUUAAUUUACUUGAUGUAGAAUAUAUAUAAACAAUUAUAUAUACAUAUAUAUGUGUAACGAGAGAAAAGGACAAACAAAGGCAAAUUCUUCCAACUUUGAAUCGUUUAUAUACUCUUGAAGCUGCCUAUAUGCCACGUAAAUCUUUGAAAAGACAAGAAAGCGAGACAUUUGGUGACUAAAGCAAAAAGUGUUUGUUUCCUUUGUGAUAAGCUUGAUCGAAGAAGUUUGUUCUUAGACGUAGCUAAGAGUUUUUUGCACGUGUCGAAAUUUCUUAGCCACUAACAUUAAACCUCGUGGGUUUUAUCAAAAUAACAUUUAAAACUCGUGCCUAUUUCUCCUUCAUACUCAUGCGUCAUGGCUAGAUUUUUUCCCCAAUUUUUUCCUUUUCUUUGAAGUAUAAGUGUGUCAAAUUUAUUCAAGUGAUUUCCCACGUUUCUGGAAGAUAUACAUUCGCGGCCUUGUAUUUCUUUGUCUGUAUAUUUUAUUCGAUUUCUAUUUUUAUUUGUUUUAUAUGUAUAGAGCUGAAAAUAUGGCCAAAAGUACAAAGUACAUAUGAUUCUCUAAUUCAACAAAUUAGAUGGUAUAUUUUGUUUUUAAGUAAAUGC